GACGAACGCUGGCGGCGUGCUUAACACAUGCAAGUCGAACGAAGUGGCGAACGGGUGAGUACGCGUAAUCAACCUGCCUUUCAUAGGGGGACAACAGUUGGAACCGACUGCUACUACUGCAUACUGAAGGAGGGGAUCGCGGUUGAUUAGCUAGUUGGAGGGGUAACGGCCCACCAAGGCGAUGAUCAGUAGCCGGUCUGGGAGGAUGAACGGCCAACUUGGGAAUGGGACACGGCCCAGAAUCCUACGGGAGGCAGCAGUGGGGAAUCUUCCGCAAUGGACGAAAGUCUGACGGGGCAACGCCGCGUGGAGUAUGACGGCUUUCGGGUUGUAAAGCUCUGUUAAUCGGGACGCGGUACCGGAAUAGAAAGCCACGGCUAACUACGUGCCAGCAGCCGCGGUAAUUC
rnacentral:rRNA from 1 species